rfam:Gossypium raimondii chromosome 8, whole genome shotgun sequence.
GUAUUUGCUUGCUAAGUUGCGUAAUGGUAUAAGCCUGCCUAACUGUGAGACAGACUGGUCGAACAGAGACGAAAGUCGGCCAUAGUGAUCUGGGAGUCCCGUGUGGAAAGGCUCUCGCUCAA